CGGCCCAGGACCUAGAUACAGUCCCUGAGGUCAUAGGCCUCAUGACCCAGUUAUUCCAACUACUUCCCCAUAGCCCACUCAACUAUGAACUCAUCAGUAGCCAUUGAUGAGAUGAUCAUGGAUUGAAACCUCUACAAAUGGCUGACCAGUAAUAGCUGCAGCUCUACACCAGAUGCUAACAUCAGCAAAGCAGACACCCCCUCUGACUGGCUGCCAUCAUUGUGUAAGUCUUAAUCCUUACAACAAUCUUUGUUUUCUUCUCUCUCUGUUUCUUUUUUUUGUAGUACUGUGGAUUGAACCUAGG
rnacentral:lncRNA from 1 species